GAGUAGAUUGUCAACUUGCUUGCUUGCUUUUUCGAGGGACGCACAGACAAAACAAACGAAGAAACAGACAGUGGAAGAGAAAAACUCGACAGGUGACGAGCCAACAAGGGCCACAAGGCAAUGAGAUCAAAACGUUUUGUCCGCCCUAACCAAUUUGCAAGUUCUUCUUUUCUUGCAAAGCACACAGCAGUGAGCGCUGACCAACAAUUAAAGCAGGGGAGGUUUUCGUCGGAAUUGGCUUCACCGCACCACACCGCACCGCACCAAGUCAGACUGUUGGUCCCCCUCAAACAGGUGACGUGCUGACCGUGAGGCCAUCAGAGGCCAAGGCGGUGUGAGUGUCAAUAAAACCUGCAGUGACGGAAUUUUAAGACAAGAAACUUCCGGACGCUUUGAAUAAUAGCAAGUUAUUGAUGUCAUGGUUAGUAAGAGAAUUGAAGCGUUGUCGGAGAUAAGGAAUUGUGUGAGAUGGCGCAUCGAUGAGAUUCUUUGUAGACGUUGUGGAUAAGAGAAACUGUGUAACGGUGUAGCAUAUUAUUAAUAAGGAUCGUUGUGAGAGUGGUACAGUAUGGAAUUACGAUGUACUGCUUUUUCAGUUUGAAUCUGAUUGACUCUGUUGUUUUAAAGAGCUUUGAGACUCUGUGACCACAACAAACUAAAAAAAACCCAACUAAAAAGCCCCCAACAAAAAAAACUGUAUAUUUUUUCUGUUGAGUGUUUGAAUCUGAGUGACUCUGUGGCUUAAAAAAAAUAAAAUUGAAAAGUGUGACUACAAAAAACAAAAAUAAACCCAAAACAACUGUCUUGUCAUGGUUGUAAAGAACUCAAUGACAACGUAACCAUACGACACGGUGAGAUUUCAUAA